UACGAAGGGGGCUAGCGUUGCUCGGAAUCACUGGGCGUAAAGCGCACGUAGGCGGAUUGUUAAGUCAGGGGUGAAAUCCCGGAGCUCAACUUCGGAACUGCCUUUGAUACAGCACAUCUGGAGUCCGGAAGAGGUGGGUGGAAUUCCUAGUGUAGAGGUGAAAUUCGUAGAUAUUAGGAAGAACACCGGUGGCGAAGGCGGCCCACUGGUCCG
rnacentral:rRNA from 1 species